UACGGGGGGAGCAAGCGUUGUUCGGAUUUACUGGGCGUAAAGGGCGCGUAGGCGGCACCGCAAGUCGACUGUGAAAUCUCCGGGCUUAACUCGGAAAGGUCAGCCGAUACUGCGGGGCUAGAGUGCAGAAGGGGCAACUGGAAUUCUCGGUGUAGCGGUGAAAUGCGUAGAUAUCGAGAGGAACACCGGUGGCGAAGGCGGCAUCCUGGACCGGCAUUGACGCUGAGGCGCGAAAGCGUGGGGAGCAAACAGG
rnacentral:rRNA from 1 species